CGUAGCUCAGCUGGAUAGAGCGCUGCCCUCCGAAGGCAGAGGUCAGAGGUUCGAAUCCUCUCGAGUGCGCCA
rnacentral:tRNA from 1 species